rnacentral:lncRNA from 1 species
AGACGAGAAGAUAUCUUGAUGGUCAAUGCUUUCGCGCUAACUAUAUACUUUCGCUAUGAGCCUAAUUUUAAAGAUCUCUACCUUUUCAUCUACACCUAUCUUUUUCUUGAAGAUCUAUUUAUACCUAAUAUGUACAAUACCUUCAGAUAGAUCUAUCAAGGUCUAGACUUAGUUUGAGUGCAUCGAGUCAAUUUCUAACUUUGUUGCCUCUAACCAUUUCUCAAAAUCGAUAUCUAAUAUCACUUUGUUAUAGAUUUUGGGGUCAUCUCCAUAUACCCUAUUUUCUAUGAAAAAUAUUUUUUCUACAUCCUUUGAGAUAAUACCUAAGUAUCUCUUAGGAGGAUGAAAAAUCCUACUAGAUUUAGGAGGUG